CCACCUCCCAUGAGGUUCUAAGGAAGGAACAAAAGUGCCUUUCUUCAUCCUGGUCUUCAGUCAAGCUGAUACACAAGCUCAUCCCUCCAUUUUCUUCACCCAUUCAUCUUCAUUUCCAUUGGCAUCUGAACCCCAGUAUCCUGCAUCUAUUUAGUUAUCCAGUUACAUUCAUUUACCAGUUUCUCCUCUGCCUCUUCCCUUUCCAUCUCUUCAUUCCUAUAUUUCACUUGAUGCCCACCUAGCUCUGCUAUCGCACUUUUCUCUGAUUACUUUGGCGAAUAAUGUUCUUGGACUGGCUGUUGCUUCCUCUUUUCUAUCUACUCGUUUGCCUAGCCUGUUUACAUUUCACUUCCAUUCAUCUCAACCUUUUCCUAUAGUCUUGCUUGGUCUUUGACAUCUUUACCUUCUUUUGGUCUCUUGUAAUCCCUUUUUCUAAGUGUUCUCUCAUACAAUCAACAGUUGUCCUUCCAUCACAUUUCAUUUAUUAUCAUAUUCUUUGGUCUUUUGGUUCCUACCUAACCGUAUGCAUUCUCUAACUAUGUGGAUUGUGUUCUGCCAUUUUUAUCCAUCUUCAACUUUUUUGUGGUUUUAUAUUCAUGGCAUACAAUCUUCUUUUGCUUCUUUAUCUCACUUUUCAUCAAUUCAGCAUUUUUGCAUCCAUUUUCUCUUUUCCUUUUAUAUACUAUCCAUCCUUUCCCAUUAUUUUCUUAACCAAUCCAUUCUAUAUGAACUUGCUUAUUUCUUCUUUACAAAUAAACCCUACUCAUCACCCUUAUACAAUUUCUUUGUUAAUAUUCCCAUUCAUCUUUACUGUCAUUAUCAUCUAUUUUUAUUGUUACUGUCUCUUAAACACUUCUAUUGUCUAUGGAUUCUGUCAAUCCAUUUGGUACCUAUCGGUAUCUUAGAUUUAUUUAUUUGUCUUUUAUAUAUUUACACAUUGUUUAAAUCAAUUCCUGUCAUUUUAUAUAAAGCAUCCAGAACAUCAAUUGGUUAUACAUAAUUGUUUUUCUGCCUGCUUGUACAAACUACUGUAAAUAUCAGUGGGCAUUUUGAACAAGAUAGAAUAGCAAAAGGAAUUGUGAAUAGCUUCUUAGCAAAUUUCUUCCAUCAUGCCAACAAAAAAAAUUGCCUCUGAAAUGACCAGCUAAAAGCCCAUAAUCUAUCAUCAAUUAAGGCAGAGCCCUGAUAGAUACACUUAAUGAUUUUCAAACAGGUCUACAAGAGGAAUAGUACCAAGAAUAGUCAAAACUUGAAUUUUUACAGUGGGUAAUUAAUAAUUUAGUCAAUUAUUUGCAUCUUGGAUGCAAGAUUUCAGCAGUAGAACCAAUCUGAUGAUGAUCAUGGUUUGGGGACUUGGAAUAUGAGAGGAAUAAAUCUACAGGCUAUGAAUUAAUAUGUCUACCAGUCUAAAAGGAAGGGGAACAGUAAAAUAGGAAUGAGAAUAGUGUGAUUUUGAGGAGUGGCCUUGAUGAAUAUAUGGAGGUAUAGAUUUAAUAGUGAAUGAGAGGACUGGAAUGUAUGUCAGAAAGUUUGAACUGGAGCCUUGUAGGUUGUUAUGGGAGAAUAUGAACAUAGGAAUUCAGAGAUAGUUGUCUGUUCUGCUCCAGUAAUGAUAAUGAAAGAAUCACUUACACAUGAGUUUUGGGAAAAUCUAUGCAACAUUUUGAAUGAACAUGAUCCAUGGGAAAAAAUAUUCUGUUAGAUGACAUGAAAGGAUAAGGCAAUGACUUAGAAACAUAAUGCAAAAUGUUUUUUGGCCACUCGAGAUGCCAAAGUGGAUGAGCAUAGUGACUAUUUGGAAGAAAACAGCCAGUGGAUGGAUAAAUGGACAGACAGAGCAUUUUAACUAGGCUUCCUGCACUACUGAAUAUCCUAUCACAAGAAAUGAAAACAGCUGGCUUAUUAAUUCUUUUUUCAAUCUUACUAGGAGUAAUGCAUUUGUCUUCUACCAGGAUGCUCUCUGGUGUCUUUGAAUUUUAUAUUGAAAAUAUAGAAUAUUUGCUGUAGCAGGUGUAGAUGUUUCAGCAGUUUCAUUGUCUCCUUAUAGAUCAGAAAUUACAGUUAUAAAAAAAGUCCAGUUAAAACUGCA